rnacentral:tRNA from 1 species
GAGAGUAUAGCUCAGUGGUAGAGCAUGUGCUAGCAUGCACAAGAUCCUGGGUUCAAUCCCCAGCCCUCC